ensembl:misc_RNA
GGUACACGUACCUCUAGUUGAGAACCACUGAUUUACAACACAGAUACAGCACUGCAGGCUUUCCCACAUUGCCUGUGUGUCUCAACUGUGACCUGAGAAGGACCACAUCUAUGUGGGUAAGAGGGUACUACAGGCCCUAUACUUAUUUGGUUAUU